rnacentral:miRNA from 1 species
AUUUGUGUGCACGUGUGUAUGCAUGUGCAUGCAAAGUUGUGCAUGCAAGGGUACAUGUGUGUGGUAAGUGGAUGAUCUCACUGACUUCUUGAG